UUGCAACACGUCCUAUCUGGGUAUAUCAUGUCCUGAUAUGAGACCUUUGUUGCGAUAGCGGUGCCAGGAUGGCAUGGAAGCAAGGCGCCAGUCGUGAUAUACACUGCCGCGAUAUACACGCCUUAUACAUGGGGUCCCUAUCAUGACAUGCUGCGGAGGUCUUGUCGCGAUGGUAUCGCAGAGUUACACGUUUGGUAACAGCGUGUCACGUGGAAGACUGCCACUGGGAACAGAGUUAGAAAUGGUGGGAUAGGGAUCCCCAGAAUCCUGAAACAAGUGACUCCUAUGACAUCCUGGAUACCUACAGGCUUGCAAUUACAUCAGAGGGAAAUUCAGCUCCUCCAAUCCAUGCAAACUCUCCUGUCAGCAUUUUAAAUAUGGAAGGAGCCCAAUAACUUAAUCCACCACUGAAGUCGCAGAAUCCCCACUACACAGCUGAUCAGGCAGAGAGG